CCUCGGGCGGCAGCAGUGGGGAAUAUUGGACAAUGGGCGAAAGCCUGAUCCAGCCAUGCCGCGUGUGUGAAGAAGGCCUUCGGGUUGUAAAGCACUUUCAGUGGGGAAGAAAGCCUUGGGGCUAAUACCCUCGAGGAAGGACAUCACCCACAGAAGAAGCACCGGCUAACUCCGUGCCAGCAGCCGCGGUAAUACGGAGGGUGCGAGCGUUAAUCGGAAUUACUGGGCGUAAAGCGCGCGUAGGCGGUCUGAUAAGCCGGUUGUGAAAGCCCCGGGCUCAACCUGGGAACGGCAUCCGGAACUGUCAGGCUAGAGUGCAGGAGAGGAAGGUAGAAUUCCCGGUGUAGCGGUGAAAUGCGUAGAGAUCGGGAGGAAUACCAGUGGCGAAGGCGGCCUUCUGGACUGACACUGACGCUGAGGUGCGAAAGCGUGGGUAGCAAACAGGAUUAGAUACCCCUGUAGUC
rnacentral:rRNA from 1 species